rnacentral:rRNA from 1 species
UCGGGAAUUUUGGGCAAUGGGCGAAAGCCUGACCCAGCAACGCCGCGUGAAGGAUGAAGUAUUUCGGUAUGUAAACUUCGAAAGAAUAGGAAGAAUAAAUGACGGUACUAUUUAUAAGGUCCGGCUAACUACGUGCCAGCAGCCGCGGUAAUACGUAGGGACCAAGCGUUGUUCGGAUUUACUGGGCGUAAAGGGCGCGUAGGCGGCAAUUCAAGUCAUCUGUGAAAUCUCCGGGCUUAACUCGGAACGGUCAGAUGAUACUGCUUUGCUAGAGUGCAGAAGGGGCAAUCGGAAUUCUUGGUGUAGCGGUGAAAUGCGUAGAUAUCAAGAGGAACACCUGAGGUGAAGACGGGUUGCUGGGCUGACACUGACGCCGAGGCGCGAAAGCCAGGGGAGCAAACGGGAUUAGAUACCCCUGUAGUCCCUGAGCGGGCUGGCAAGGCGCAU